rnacentral:lncRNA from 1 species
GUAAAGGUUCCGGAGACCUCAAAGCUUGGAGGAGAGUGCUGAUGUCAAGUGAAGAGAGGCAUGUCCAGAGGGCUGAAGAGAAGUCUGCGUUUGAGAAUGAAGGCCAUAUUGUGGAUCUGACAUUCAGAGGCGGGAGGACCAAGAAUAUCCCCCCAAUAGAACCAAUACCACACGCACAAGCUAUUUAAUGACAGAUGUUAAAAAGGGCAAAGAAAGGUACAAAGAACUUUCCCUAUGUUAAGAUGACUCAUAAGACCCGUGGGAAAUGAUACAUCACUCUCAAACCAAAGGAGAGAGAAGAGAAAGAGAUGAAGAAAGGGAGCAGAGAUUAGAGAACUUGCCCAAACUCACACAGUGAGUGGCCCUUGGAGUCUAAGAAUAAACCCAGUCACUGGCACUCCAGAGGCCAUGGUUAGAAACAUUACUCCUACAAAAGGAUGGACUGCAUGGCCAGAUAAGAAGUCAGAGGAUCAAGGCAGUUCAUUGAAGUAGACUGAUUCUUGUUAUCUUAAGGAGUUGACCUACCGUUGUACAUUCCUGUUCAGAACUGCUUUGACAAACACCUGGGAAUCGUGUCAAAAUAUUUGAAGAUUAUGAGAAAGAAAGAAGAUAAAGGUUUGAACUUUGUCUUUCUAGCUAUUUUUUUCCCCUGACACUUCGUGAAUACAAUUCAAA